rnacentral:telomerase_RNA from 1 species
UUGUUGGGGCAUGCAUGGCGGGCCGAGUACGGACAGCCGUGCAACUCUAACCCUAACUAUUCUUGUGCCUCGUCUCGCGGCAAACCGUGCUGUUUUCCGAGACAAGCUUUCAUCACGGGGACUUGGCAUUCAUUUAAACUCAAAAAAGCUUGUUUUUGCUCCGGCAACUUUGCUAAACGGUACCGACGGCACUGUCGCUCUUGGCACGGAGGCCCUUGUUGACCGCGAUGGGCGACCGGUGCUAGGGUUCGUCCCUACCCGACGCUCUUCGUUUGGUUAAUAUUGGGCCUGGGAUGUCUCCCAAGUUUGACUGCCAAUUCAUUAAACACCAGUGCUUUUAGAAAAUGCUGCUUGGCACGAGUUUGGCCUUGUGGCGUUUUCUUACAUGCGCACAUAU